GCGGCGGGGCCGGCCAUGGGCAGCGUGCGCUGGGCCUUCCCGUGCGGUGCAUGGCGGCCCCGCCGCCGCGAGUGGCUGCUGGCCGCGCAGCUGGUGCAGCCCGAGGAGAAGGAGCGCAUCGGCAAGUUUGUGUUUGCCCGCGAUGCCAAAGCCGCCUUGGCUGGUCGCCUGCUGAUGCGGAAAUUAAUGGCAGAGGAGCUGUGCAUACCUUGGAACGAAGUCCACUUGCAAAGGACACCAAAAGGAAAACCUUUCCUGGCCAGUAACGUAGUUGGUAUCAACUCAAAUUACAGCUUCAAUGUCUCUCAUCAAGGAGAUUAUGCAGUCCUUGCAGCUGAGCCUGAGCUUCAAGUUGGCAUUGAUAUUAUGAAGACUGAUUUACCAGGUAGUAGCUCAAUUCCAAAUUUCUUUCACUUAAUGAAGCGACAGUUUACUGAAACAGAGUGGGAUGUAAUCAAGUCCAUGAGUAAUGAAUGGAUGCAGCUGGAUAUGUUUUAUCGGCACUGGGCCUUAAAAGAAAGCUUCUUAAAGGCCAUUGGAGUUGGAAUUGGCUUUAACUUGCAAAGAAUUGAAUUUAAUGUGUCUCCAUUGCAACUGGAAAUAGGAAAGGUGUAUAAGGAGACAAAGAUGUUUCUGGAUGGAGAAAAAGAAGAGGAGUGGACAUUUGAGGAAACCCGCUUGGAUGGCAAUCAUCAUGUUGCAGUGGCACUUGGGAAACAGGAGGGAUUUGCACAGAAGGAUUCUGAUGUCCACUCCAUGGAGCCCAACCAACCACAAUUUACAUUAUUGACUUUUGAAGACUUAGUUGCAUCUGGUAUUCCUGUUGCACCUGAGGAUUCUGCAUAUUGGGACAACUUCUGUUCAAAGCAGGAGGGUCCAGUGAGACAGAGUUCACAUUCAAGAUAGGACUGUGUAUAAGAAAAAGAAACUUGACAAAGUUCUUACGCAGUUAUCCUGUUUAAUUUGAAGUACGUGAAUAAGUGCACAUAUGUAAAUGAAAUGUAUCCUUCUCUAUUUAAGCUGACAACCUGAUUUUCAUGACACUUCAUUGGGAUUCUAAGGAAGACAUGUUUCCUUUCUUAAGGAAUUCUGAAUCAGAAGCCUAAACCAACAUGCCUUUUUGCAUCUCCUUGCCUGUGGCUCUUACACUUCAGUAAUUAUCCAGGCUAGGAACAGAAAGCAGCUGUACAAUAAUGUUGUUUAUAAUGAACAAGUGUUUAGUAUAUAAAAAUGUGUUUCCAUACUAAUUUAUGCUGAAACUUAAAUUAUGAUACUGCUUUUUCUCUUACAAAAAUUAUUCAUUUAUUCUCAGAUGGACGAAUAAAAAAAAUGCUACAAAUUCUUAUGCUGUACAGCACUUGGUGUUUGUGUAAUGCCAGGCUGUAAAGGUCUAUAGUAGUCUUGAAGCUACAUAUGUGGAUGGGAAUUAACUUACAAAUAUUUCAUAGUCUUUUCACUUCUUAUCUUUGUUUAUUAAAGCUUCCUGUACGCAACUUAGUAUUUGUCUUUUAACAGCUCUUUUUUGUAUUUUUUUUUCCUCAGCAAUAGAUGCAAGCCAAGCAGCAAUUCAAUUUUCCUAGGCUUGCAUUUGCAUCAGUCAUGUGGGGAAGGAAGCUCAAAGAAAAAAAAAAGCUAUUUACUUAUUUCCAAAUAGUCUUGUAAUGUCUGAUGACAGAACAUUUUACUGUCCUAACAUCAAAUGAAGAUUUCUGGAGAUCUGUAGAUCUUGGGUGCACAUCUAGAAUAUUUUUUCUUCUUUUUCAAAAUAAAUCCUGUUUUGUGCCAUUACUUCUCACUCUUCUUUCUAGAAAUCAUAGAUACAAUGAGAUCCAUCUAAAUUUGAGAAAACAGAAUGAUCUUUGCACAAAAAUAAUCACCUUCUGUCCUGCGGUUAAACAUAGAUCUUCAUUGAAUUUGGGGUUGUGUACAACUAGGCUUCACCCUGUAUUCUGGUGUACACCGUGAAAAGGAGAAUCUACUUGUAGUGUAACCUCUGAAUCUAUCCCAUAUUACAAAGAUGAAGAAAAUUGUGUGAGAGAAGAUGAUUUUUACAACUAUUAAACAAGCAUUUGGAGUUCUGAACUCCAUUGAAUAGUUCUGAAUUCAACAUGCUGCUAAACUCUCCUGCUUCCAGUGCUGAUUAAUUUUUUUUCCCCAUCUCUAUGAGUCUCUCAUCCUGCAUGCUAAUCAUAGUUUUUAAUGUUUUGCUUUUUUUCCCCUCCAAAACUGCAAAUCAGUGAAACAAUGACUCUUCCCUUCAGUCUCCACAGGGGCAAAAUUAGAUGUUCAGUAACUUAAAAUCUGAAGUUUAAAAAAAAUACAGAAUACCUUAUAUACAAAUUCUAAGUCAUGUAGUCCAGAGUGUUUGUCUUUUAGAAAAAUGAAAUUCAAUUUGCAAUAAAUAAUUUGCAAUCCACAGAGGUCCAGUAUAGGCCAAUCAGUCACUGGACCCAUCUAUUGCAACUUUGCCAGACAGUUUGAAGUUGCCAACUUUUUUGCUAGGCCAAGGAAUCAAACUGCAAAUAUGGGAUGAACUGAAUAGAAAAAUUUCCAAUCUAGAUUUCUGGGGGUAAGAGAAUUAAUUUCAUAUUAGAGAUUAGUUAUUUUUGCAUGACAGCAGUGUCUCAAACCAGAAAUUUUCUUUCAUUGGAAAGAGUUUUAAAAGUAUUAGUGAAUUAUUUAUAAUAUUGUGCUUGCAUGUAAGUAGAGGACAAGCCAAUUUUGUUAAAUUAGAAAAUUGUGCUUGGUUUUCUUGCAAGAUAUAUGAUAGUUUUCAAGACUGUAUCUAAUUAGAAAGAGUUUGUUUUGGUUAGUUUUCCAUUAUGUAAAAUCUUAGUUUAGAGUGGUUCAUAAAGAAUUUUCGAGAAGACUGCAGUUUCUCAGGGUGUGAUUUUUUUUGGUGUCUUUUAAUUUACACUGAAGUGUUUGAAAAAUAAGGUCAAUCUCAUUUUUAGUUUUAAUAGCAGUUAGGUUAGAUGAUGGUAAUGCCUUUAGAAGGACCACUUGAGUCAGGUUGUUUUAUGUCAUUGCAAAUGGACGCAAUUGUUGUACUUGCUUUUACCUCAGUGGGAAAGAGCAGCUAGAUCGUUAUGGAAUUUUUGGCUAAAAGCAUGCUGCUAAAAGGCCAGCAGGACAUUCUGACUCCUUAGAAAUGUGACUGAUCCUUCUUAAAAACUUACUUCUUAAAAAAGAAGUAAGUUUUUCUGGAUAUCUGUGCUGUGGAGGCAUAUACUGAAAUAAGUGUUGUUAGUGUGUACAAAUAAAUUAAUGUUAUUUCACAGUUCUAAGAUAAAUUUCUUUUUUAGUUCACUGUCACACUUUUCGUUGAUAAGAAGAUAAUUGAGCCUUUUCUCCACACAAGGCCACAACACUGACUUACUUGCAUUUCCACAGAAUACAGAGCCAAUGGCCAUAGAGCCUCUCUGCCAUUUGAGAGCAGCUCCAGCUUCCCUUGCUAGGUCAAGCUGUCUGCCCAGUCCAGGCUAGGUGAGGUGACCUUUGCUGUCUCCCAUCAUUCUUCUGUCCCAUUUACACCUAAAAGCCUCAGCACCUUUUGAUUCCUUCUCCAGAGCUCCAUUCCUUCAUCUGUUUUGUUUUCUACAUAGUGUCCUUGACAUAACUGUACCACAUGCCUAUGAGGGUAAGAAGCUGUAAAAACACAAGCUCUGCUCCACAUGAGCCUUUUCCAGCAGUGACUGCAGCUAGGUAGACUUUUUCCCUAUGGAACACCAUUGACCCAUCCUCCCAUUUCUCAAAUUCUCAGAUUUUGGUCUUAGAUUGGAUCCUAUGUUUUCCUAGGUGGAAAUCAACACAGUGUUUCUGAAAAGUAUUUGUUAAGUCUCUGAUCAAAAAAUAAAUUUCAAAAGUUUUGGUCUGCAGUGAAAAGGUGGUUAAAAAUGAAUAGAUGUGUUUUAGUUUGGACUUGUUCAAAACUUUUUGUAUCUUACAUCAAAAAUAGUUGAGCAGAUUAGGAACUUCAGGGGGUAAAACUGGGUUCAAGGCAGUUAGCAACGGCGUGGCAAGAGACAGGUGCCAUUUGAUGUGAAAAUCUGUAACUGAAAAGUGGAUCAUGAGGGUUCACUCAGCUUUCUACGGAGUCUGUAAACUUACACAAGAUGUAGAUUGUUACUAUCUUAUGGGAUCAAGUCCACUGGUGUUAAUCAAGUAUGCUGAUCUUAGACAGGAAAUCAGAGGUGCAUCAACAGAAGAAAUGUAUAUAUGGUUGUUAUAUGUGUGCUCUGGGAAACAUCUGGGGAACAGCUCAACUUUAAACUACCAUCUCUACCCAAGACACUGCAAUAAGGAAAUGAUUUGUGAAAAAGUAGAAAAGAUGGUUAUGCAAGUCAGCAUAGAGUGGCCUUUGUUGGAGCUUUACGCAAUUAUAGUGCUACAUUCUACAAAGAUAAGUGGUUCUUGGCAAAAUUGAAACCAUGUCUAAAACAGCAAUUGAGACUGUCAGCCUUAACUGCUGCCUAAUUCUGCAGGUGUGCUUCAUUAUCCUCCAGAAUUCAGUUAGUUUUGAUUACUUCGCUCUUUGUAGAAAAUCACCUCUUGGAGUACUUCAGAGGUUUGCCAGGAUGCUUGCCAGAUAUGUCCUAAGGAUUUAGUGAUGCCUUUUGACUUUUGGAGCAGGAACACCAAGAUUCCCAGCAUUAUCAAGAUGCAAUGCCAGACCAAUAGGCAAUGGCAGAAUUUGGAAGGACUUUAAGAGCUUUGAUAAAUGCAUGCAGGGCUUCCCUCCUGGACCCACGAGGUUCUCUGGGAAUUCACAUAGGUUGGGGAAAUUUGGUGAGAAAAAUGAACCAGGCCAAGCACUGCAAACCAGUCUAGCACCUGAGCUGACAUCAAACAAGAUUUGGAAGAAGAAGCUUUAAUUCUUAGGGUAAGUACAAAAGCAGCUAAAACUGGAAUCUCUAGCGUGCUAUGUGUGGUGAAAACUAAUGUUCCAGGAUUUAUAGAAUCUAAGAGAAGAGCCCCAGUCUGUAAGUUUUUCAUUUAUGUACAUCAAAGCAUGCACUUUCAAUUACAAAUAAUACAGGACAAUAGCACAGUGGGGAGAUAAGAAUUAAGGAGCUUCCAAUUCUGGUGAUGAAGUAUUUUUUAAGGAGUCUUCCAAUUCUGGUGGUAAAAUAUUUUUCUCCAUUCCUUUAUCUUCCAAAGUUUAAUAUUUCUACAUGUCUAACAUACAUUUUCUUGUUAUUGUGAUAAAUGAGUUUUUGUUUAUUUUAUUGGUCUAAAAUUGCCUUUCUUCUAUUUUAACUAUUGAAGGGUAUGUAGUUAUGUUUUUACUGGAUGUCUGCUAAUAUAAAAGUGUCAUUUUAGAAUUAGUGUCUGCCUGCUGCCUGUAUUUCUGUGCAACCAUAAUAAAAUCUCUUCUUGUUGCCUCUGU